rnacentral:rRNA from 1 species
AGUGUUUAACGGCCGCGGUAUUUUAACCGCGCGAAGGUAGCGUAAUCACUUGUCUUUUAAAUGGAGACCUGUAUGAAUGGCAUAACGAGGGUUUGACUGUCUCCUCCACCCAGUCAAUGAAAUUGAUCUGCCCGUGCAGAAGCGGGCAUAAGCACAUAAGACGAGAAGACCCUAUGGAGCUUUAGGCAAAUGACCAGGCAAAACAAGUCACGGCCCUUAAUAAGCCUAGAAAAACAAAAGCUAAUGAUCAAAAUGCCUUCGGUUGGGGCGACCAUGGAGGAAACAAAAUCCUCCAAGCGGAAAGGGACAACCCUUGAACCAAGAGAAACACCUCGAAGUAACAGAAUUUAUGACCAACUAUGACCCAGGAUUUAACCUGAUCAACGGACCUAGUUACCCUAGGGAUAACAGCGCAAUCCUCUCCCAGAGUCCCUAUCGACGAGGGGGUUUACGACCUCGAUGUUGGAUCAGGACAUCCUAAUGGUGCAGCCGCUAUUAAGGGUUCGUUUGUUCAACGAUUAA